UCUGAUUUUCAGCAAAUGUUUGAUGUUUUGCCCCGAAAAUCUCCUUUGAAGCAAUGGCAGUAUGUUUUCAGCCAGGACCUUGACCCCUCCAGCCAUAUCCUCCCUCGCUCUCUUUCGAAAAGGCCUAGAUUAAUAAUGUCAGUACUAUCUUUCCUGCAACUAAGAGCGAACACAGGGAUUGGAGAUGGGCCUUCCACCAUCAGAAAUAACCAGGCUGUCAACACAACGCUACGCUAACCUCUUUAGCACUCUCAUCAACAUCAUCCUCCACCGAAAACUUUUCUGAAGAAGCCCAGGUCAGAGAGAGGGAAGGAAAAAAAAGAUCACUCAUAAUCCAUUUGAGGGAUUAGAUGAGUGACUACUUUAAAAGCUUUUCCUACCGGGGGUGAAAUAUUAAUAUUUAGCUGCAGUCUGAACAUUACCAGGAGCCAUCGUAGUGAAGUAACAAUCAUUAUUAAUGACUCAUUUUCAGAAGCCCACUGUACUGGAUGUUCAAAGCAUUACCGACCUUCAGAAGGGAAAGCGGGAAAGGAUAGCCUCAAAUAUGGACUCACUAGAGUAGAAAAUACAUAUCUGUAAUGGGCUCACAGUUCUGGAUCUACUGUGCCUUUUGGAAUUGCAUACCUCAACCAUUGUGCUUCCUGCCAAAAUUCGGUAAAAAAAAAUCUCACUGCCCCAAUGUCCAAAUGAGUAGCGUUGCUGGAAAUGGCUUGAAAACUGAAAAUGCUCUCUCUUUUAAUAUGACGACGUUAAAAAGGAA